UCAGUGAAGUUAAAAAUCCAGGAAGAAAAUGAAAAUUGAACUGACGUUUUUUGCUAUUUCUGUCGCCAUCGUGAUGGGUCAAAACGAUUGUGGCACACUACUAACUGGUAGCAUUUACCCAAAUGUCGC